rnacentral:tRNA from 1 species
GGAGAGGUGGCCGAGUGGCUUAAGGCGCACGCUUGGAAAGCGUGUAUAUGGACAACAUAUCAGGGGUUCGAAUCCCUUUCUCUCCGCCG